AUUGAACGCUGGCGGCAUGCCUUACACAUGCAAGUCGAACGGCAGCACGGGAGCUUGCUCCUGGUGGCGAGUGGCGAACGGGUGAGUAAUACAUCGGAACGUACCCUGAAGUGGGGGAUAACGUAGCGAAAGUUACGCUAAUACCGCAUAUUCUGUGAGCAGGAAAGAGGGGGAUCGCAAGACCUCUUGCUUUAGGAGCGGCCGAUGUCGGAUUAGCUAGUUGGUGAGGUAAAGGCUCACCAAGGCGACGAUCCGUAGCGGGUCUGAGAGGAUGAUCCGCCACACUGGGACUGAGACACGGCCCAGACUCCUACGGGAGGCAGCAGUGGGGAAUUUUGGACAAUGGGCGCAAGCCUGAUCCAGCCAUGCCGCGUGAGUGAAGAAGGCCUCGGUUGUAAGUA
rnacentral:rRNA from 1 species